rnacentral:rRNA from 1 species
UACGGGGGGGGCAAGCGUUGUUCGGAAUUACUGGGCGUAAAGGGCUCGUAGGCGGCCAACUAAGUCAGACGUGAAAUCCCUCGGCUUAACCGGGGAACUGCGUCUGAUACUGGAUGGCUUGAGUUUGGGAGAGGGAUGCGGAAUUCCAGGUGUAGCGGUGAAAUGCGUAGAUAUCGAGAGGAACACCGGUGGCGAAGGCGGCAUCCUGGACCGAGAUUGACGCUGAUGCGCGAAAGCCAGGGGAGCAAACGGG